rnacentral:rRNA from 1 species
UACGUAGGGGUCGAGCGUUGUCCGGAGUUACUGGGCGUAAAGCGCGUGCAGGUGGCUCAUUACGCCCGGCGUGAAAGCCCCCCGGCUCAACCGGGGGAGGGUCGUCGGGGACGGGGUGAGCUUGAGGGUAGCAGGGGGCUGGUAGAAUUCCCGGUGUAGUGGUGAAAUGCGUAGAGAUCGGCAGGAACACCAAGGACGAAGGUAACCACCUGGGCAUCAGCUGACACUCAUGUGCGACAGCGUGGGGAGCGAACCGG